rnacentral:rRNA from 1 species
CCUACGGGAGGCAGCAGUGAGGAAUAUUGGUCAAUGGGCGUAAGCCUGAACCAGCCAAGUCGCGUGAGGGAUGAAGGUUCUAUGGAUCGUAAACCUCUUUUAUAAGGGAAUAAAGUGUGGGACGUGUCCUGUUUUGUAUGUACCUUAUGAAUAAGGAUCGGCUAACUCCGUGCCAGCAGCCGCGGUAAUACGGAGGAUCCGAGCGUUAUCCGGAUUUAUUGGGUUUAAAGGGUGCUGAGGCGGCCGUUUAAGUCAGCGGUGAAAGUCUGUGGCUCAACCAUAGAAUUGCCGUUGAAACUGGGAGGCUUGAGUAUGUUUGAGGCAGGCGGAAUGCGUGGUGUAGCGGUGAAAUGCUUAGAUAUCACGCAGAACCCCGAUUGCGAAGGCAGCCUGCCAAGCCAUGACUGACGCUGAUGCACGAAAGCGUGGGGAUCAAACAGGAUUAGAUACCCGGGUAGUC